GACAGAGGCCUCAAGCGUUAGGCGGAAUCACUGGGCUUAAAGCGUGUGUAGGCGGACUUCUAAGUGCCUUGUGAAAUCCCACGGCUCAACCGUGGAACUGCUGGGCAUACUGGGGAGUCUUGGGCCAUUCAGGGGCAACUGGAACAAGCGGUGGAGCGGUGAAAUGCGUAGAUAUCGCUUGGAACGCCGAAGGUGAAAACAGGCUGCUGGGGUUGCGCCGACGCUG
rnacentral:rRNA from 1 species